AGCUCCAAUAGCGUAUAUUAAAGUUGUUUCAGUUAAAAAGAACUUAGUUGGAUUUCUGUAGGAGUAGUAUCUAUAGGUCUUUGACCAAUAAAGUUGCUAUCUUCAACUAUCCUUGAAGAUAUUUAGUCUGGUAUUAAGUUCUUGGAUUAAAGAUAUUUAUCUUUUACUGUGAAAAAAUUAGAACGUUUAAAGUAAGCAUUUAGAUUUGAAUGUAUUAGCAUGGAAUAAUAAAAUAGGACUUAGGUACUAAUUUAUUGGUUUAUACACCUAGGUAAUGAUUAAUAGAUAUAGUUGGGUGUAUCUUUAUUCCAUUGUUAGAGGUGAAAUUAUUGGAUUUUUGGAAGACGAACAACUGCAAAAGCAUUUACCAAGGAUGUUUUCA
rnacentral:rRNA from 1 species